rnacentral:tRNA from 1 species
GGGACGGUAGCUUAGUUGGUUAAAGCAGCGAACUCAUAAUUCGUUGACCGUCGGUUCAAGUCCGACCCGUCCCACCA